AACUUAUCACUCUGGUCCAGGAAAGACCAGAGCUGUGGGACACACGGUCACCUGCGUAUCUUGACCUUGUCAGGGAAGAAGUUUCGUGGGAGAAAGUGGCACGUCGGAUAAAGCCACUGGAAUGGGAUAAAGCGGAUCACCGAGGUCGUGCCGAAAUAGUUAAAAACAUCAAAGUACGAUGGAACAGCUGCAGGGACCAGUUCCGCAGAGAGCUGAACAACAAGGGUCGCAGUGGAGAAGGCUCCUCUCGAAAACGACCCUACAUGUACACGGAGCAACUAAGUUUUCUUCGCCCAGUGAUGGAGUUGAGGCCAACUGUGGACAAUCUAGAGGACAGCGAAGAAUCGGAAUUGGGUGGAUCCGAAACGCCACCAGUAUUUUAGCCAGAAACCAGCCCUCCAGAAACUGCAGCGGUGGAGCCUUCUGAGCCAGCCAUGGCCCCAAGUGGUGGGGAACCGGAAAUGCCCCAAACUUCACAGCAACAGCCCAGGAGACGGAGGAAUGUUCGUCAGCCUGCCUCUGAGCAAGUUAAUCGUGAAAUGAUCGAUGCCCGAGUAAUCGAGUUUCUUGCACAGAGGCGGACUGAUGGGCAAGAGGAAUCUAUGUUAAGGGGCCUUGCACCACUUAUGAGGCAUGUUCCCACAGCAAACCAUCACCAUUGUGUAGCAGCCUUGUCACUGGUUUUGAAAAUGUACACACUCCCAUACCAGGGAGACAUACUGUAUGAUCUCAACCAGAUGUUAAACAAAUAUACGAUGGCUUCAAGUCAUCAGCCUACCAGGUUUGCACAGGCUGCACAUGCAAGCCAUGGUCCACCCUCUUCCGGACCUUCUUUACAUGGUUCACAGGAGCGUAACCCUCCCCUUGCCCAGUCCAUGCCUGUGGACAUGUUUUCAACAGGUGCACCACAAGCGCAACAGGUACGGCCAGGAUCUAG